rnacentral:rRNA from 1 species
UACGAGGGGUGCAAGCGUUGUUCGGAAUUACUGGGCGUAAAGCGUACGUAGGUGGCUAUGUGUGUUUGGUGUGAAAGCCCUCGGCUCAACCGGGGAACUGCGCUGAAAACUACAUAGCUAGAGAUCGAGAGAGGUAAGCGGAAUUCUAAGUGUAGAGGUGAAAUUCGUAGAUACUUGGAGGAACACCAGAGGCGAAGGCGGCUUACUGGCUCGAUACUGACACUGAGGUACGAAAGCGUGGGUAGCAAACAGG